rnacentral:lncRNA from 10 species
UAGGGACUACAUGUGUGUAUAUUAAAUAUUUCAAAAUAUAUCACACAUAUUGGGCCAUAAGAAAAGUCUCAACAUCCCAAUACAUUCUGAAAUACAGAAUUAUAUAGAUCAUAUUCUCUAACUUCAAUGUAGUAACAAAAACUUUAAAAUCAUUAUGUUAGAAAAGAUACAGAAAAACUCCCAAGGAAUUUUGGGACAAACACAAAAUGAUCAAUGAAUCCAAGAGCUGGUUCUUUAAAAGAAAACACACAUACAUCUUUUACCAGUUAUAUAAUGAAGGAAAAAUAAAUAAUUCUUUAAAAUAUUUCUGCUGCCAUUAACGCUUCCCUGCAUGUUACAGGUAGCAACGUGUACUCAGUAUGUUUGGUGUCUCACAAGCAUCCAGUUGAACACUGGAGCCAUGGAGAGAGCUCAGUCUCACACCUAAGAAGGUACCCAGACAAUUUUGGUGCUCUCAAAAAAGCUUUCUAUAAGGGUUUAUCAGUGAGCCUAAAACAUAGAAAAAGAUCAUACAGAUUUCAGCAUAAGGAACUUCAGAAUCAAAAUGGAGUCACUAAUAUUAAAAAAACAAAACCAAAAACCUUUGACAAACAGACAGGGAAGGCCAUGAAGAGAGGGUUCUCACGCUUGAAUGCCUGAUAACACAAC